AAUGGGACGCAAGUCUGACGGAGCACCGCCGCGUGAGUGAAGAAGGUUUUCGGAUCGUAAAGCUCUGUUGCCAAGGAAGAACGCCUUGGGGAGUCACUGCCCUGAGGGUGACGGUACUUGAGAAGAAAGCCCCGGCUAACUACGUGCCAGCAGCCGCGGUAAUACGUAGGGGGCAAGCGUUGUCCGGAAUUAUUGGGCGUAAAGCGCGCGCAGGCGGCCGCUUAAGUUUGGUGUAUAAGCCCGGGGCUCAACCCCGGAUCGCACCGAAAACUGGGUGGCUUGAGUGCAGGAGAGGAAAGCGGAAUUCCACGUGUAGCGGUGAAAUGCGUAGAGAUGUGGAGGAACACCAGUGGCGAAGGCGGCUUUCUGGACUGUAACUGACGCUGAGGCGCGAAAGCGUGGGGAGCAAACAGGAUUAGAUACCCUGGUAGUCCACGCCGUAAACGAUGAGUGCUAGGUGUUAGGGGUUUCGAUACCCUUGGUGCCGAAKUCAACACAAUAAGCACUCCGCCUGGGGAGUACGCUCGCAAAGAG
rnacentral:rRNA from 1 species